rnacentral:lncRNA from 1 species
UGUGAAAUGGUGGAUUCAUUCAUAAUUUUGUGUUACUUAUUGGUUUGGAAAUAACGUUGAUAGAGCUAACAGCAUUAUGUCAUGAUGUACAGUUGAUGGGAUGAUCAGUUCUGAUUGGACAAAAAGAAAAGUGUGAAUUGAACAAAUAGCAAACUUACAAUUCAUAGAAAAAAAUGUAGGCAAUACAAUGUACUACAUUACUUGGUGACAGAGCA